GCCUGGGUGGCUCAGUCGGUUGAGCAUCUGACUCUUGAUUUCAGCUCAGGUCAUGAUCCUAGGGUUGUGGGAUCAAGCCCCAUGUCAGGCU
rnacentral:tRNA from 1 species